GCAGUGUCCAUGCAGGCAGCAGUCCCGGCCAGGAGCCUCCCGCCUUCCUGCUCGUCGGGAGAGCACCCCCGCCGGCGCGCUCUCCAGCACAGUCCGAGGCGCCCCCUUCAAAGGGGAGAGGCCCUGUGUCUGUAGAAGAUAAAGAUGGCAACACAUGGAACAUCUCAGAAUUACGACUCUUUCUGGGUUUAAAAUACAUUCUCCUCACAAGGACCAGAUGGGUCAGUUGCUGUGUUUUGAAUGACGAGUCUCCUCUGUAUGGGAGGCCCAGUGCUGUUGUACCAGCCUCUGGAGCCGGGGCCGGGGGAGGUCAGGGACCCAGAAGUGUGCUGGCUGAGGCUGGCCGCCGGCAGACCGUGUGAGGGGUCCCUCCCGGUGCUCUGCCUUCAGGCAUGCCUCAUUUCCCGUAGGCGGCGUUCUUGCAGAGCUAGCUUUGGAAACGUGUACAUGUUUACAUGUGAUCAGCCCUUCCCAUGGUUAAUUCAGAGCUGGGGCUGCUCCUCAGAGUAACGCCUGCUGCUCCCGCCCAGCCUCGGCCAGGUCUCGGGGACCAUGAUGCGCUGCCAUGGCAACGGGGUCACUGCAGUGUCAUGGCGUCUGCCGGCCGGGGACCCAGCCUGCUUUCACGGCCUCCCGGUGUGUUCGCAGAGCCCAUGCGGCAUGGCACCCCCCAGGACCGUGUGUCUGGGCCCACGGCUCUUCCCUGUUUGGCUGGUGCCCAUGGCUCAGGCAGCCUCUUGUCCCCAGUCUUUCACAUCCUCCCUGGCAGCCUCAGAGGUGGGCCGUGCUGGUUGGAAGCCAUCUUGUACGGAACAGGGAAAUGUCGGGGAAUGUAUUUGAUGUCAAAGCCUUUAGAGGGGUUUAAUUUUCUUUUACAGACGUUUCAGCACACUCACACCCCUUUCUCUCCUGUUUGCUGCAUGUGAAGCAGGAGCAAGGGAAGCACGCCGGUGCUGCUUUUGCACCUGCUGGCAGGUGGCUCGAGUGGGACCUCUGCAGUCCUCGCAGCAGACGUUGUCAUCUCCGUUUUCCAGGUUGGCGCCUGAAGGUGACAGUCACAAAGUACUAAGCAGCACGGCCCAGGCACUGCCCAGUCAGAGUGGAGCUGGACCCUGUGAAGUGCCAGCCAACCCGUCGGCUGUUUCAAGUUCCAGCGAUGACACAGGAUUGGAGGGAAAUCCUGGGUCCAAACUGCCAAACACAUGAGCGUCACCGUGACACUGCCUGGCACCGAGCCACACCUGGCACAGGUUGACUGCAGGAUGAGAACCGUACCUGACAGGCCCCUCCCUGAGCCACUGUACUCCAGGACCCCCGUGGCCCUCCCCGGCUGGGAGGGACCCAUGUCCUCAGAGCUGGCGCUGCAAG